rnacentral:misc_RNA from 1 species
AAGUCGUAACAAGGUUUCCGUAGGUGAACCUGCGGAAGGAUCAUUAACGAGUUAGGGUCCCUCGUGGCCCGACCUCCCAACCCUUUGUCUACUUAACCACUGUUGCUUCGGCGAGCCCGUCUGUAAUGGACCGCCGGGGGGUACCUUGAUCGGCCCUCUGGGCAGCGCUCGUCGGUGGCCAAACUUUUAAAAUCUUAACCAAACGUGCCUCAGUCUAAGUAUUAUUUGUUAAAUAAAAGCAAAACUUUCAACAACGGAUCUCUUGGUUCUG